rfam:Oryza barthii chromosome 6, whole genome shotgun sequence.
AAAGACUUUAUUUUUUGGUUUCUGUGUCCAACGUUUGACCAUCCGUCUUGUUUGAAAAAUUUAUGAAAAAAAUUAAACAAUAUUAGUCACGCAUAAAAUACUAUUCAUCUUUUAUCAUUAAAAAUAUACUAAUUAUAAAAGAAUUUUAAAUAAGACGAAGAGUCAAACGUUGUAUCACAAGGGAGUAUCUUCU